rnacentral:rRNA from 1 species
UACGAAGGGGGCUAGCGUUGCUCGGAAUCACUGGGCGUAAAGCGCACGUAGGCGGAUUGUUAAGUCAGGGGUGAAAUCCUGGAGCUCAACUCCAGAACUGCCUUUGAUACUGGCGAUCUCGAGUCCGGGAGAGGUGAGUGGAACUGCGAGUGUAGAGGUGAAAUUCGUAGAUAUUCGCAAGAACACCAGUGGCGAAGGCGGCUCACUGGCCCGGUACUGACGCUGAGGUGCGACAGCGUGGGGAGCAAACAGG